rnacentral:tRNA from 4 species
GGCGGGGUAGCUCAGCUGGUUAGAGCACGGCACUCAUAAUGCCGGGGUCACCGGUUCAAGUCCGGUUCCCGCUACCA